rnacentral:rRNA from 1 species
UACGAAGGGGGCUAGCGUUGCUCGGAAUCACUGGGCGUAAAGCGCACGUAGGCGGACUCUUAAGUCGGUGGUGAAAUCCUGGAGCUCAACUCCAGAACUGCCUUCGAUACUGAGAGUCUCGAGUCCGGGAGAGGUGAGUGGAACUGCGAGUGUAGAGGUGAAAUUCGUAGAUAUCAAGCGGAACACCGGUGGCGAAGGCGGCCUUCUGGACGAUGACUGACGCUGAAGCGCGAAAGCGUGGGGAGCAAACAGG